rnacentral:misc_RNA from 1 species
AGCAGCCGCGGUAAUUCCAGCUCCAAUAGCGUAUAUUAAAGUUGCUGCAGUUAAAAAGCUCGUAGUUGAAUUUCGGGACUAAUAUGUCGGUCGUGCCUCGGUACGUACUGGUUUAUUGGUUUCUCCUUUCUGAAGAACCAUGAUGUCAUUUAUUUGGUGUCGUGGGGAAUCAGGACUGUUACUUUGAAAAAAUUUAGAGUGUUUAAAGCAGGCUCACGCUUGAAUACAUUAGCAUGGAAUAAUGAAAUAGGACGUUUGAUUCUAUUUUGUUGGUUUCUAGGAUCGACGUAAUGAUUAAUAGGGAUAGUUGGGGGCAUUAGUAUUCAAUUGUCAGAGGUGAAAUUCUUGGAUUUAUUGAAGACUAACUACUGCGAAAGCAUUUGCCAAGGAUGUUUUCAUUAAUCAAGAACGAAAGUUAGGGGAUCGAAGACGAUCAGAUACCGUCGUAGUCUUAACCAUAAACUAUGCCGACUAGGGAUCGGAUGAUGUUAAUUUUUUAAUGACUCAUUCGGCGCCUUAC